rnacentral:rRNA from 1 species
ACUCAAAUGAAUUGACGGGGGCCCGCACAAGCGGUGGAGCAUGUGGUUUAAUUCGACGCAACGCGAAGAACCUUACCUAGGUUGGAACCCUCUCGAGCCCUCCAGAAACGGAGGGGUGCCCUUCGGGGAAUGAGAUGUUCAGGUGCUGCAUGGCUGUCGUCAGCUCGUGUCGUGAGAUGUUGGGUUAAGUCCCGCAACGAGCGCAACCCUUGUCGUUAGUUGCUACCAGUUUGGCUGAGCACUCUAACGAGACUGCCGGUGUUAAACCGGAGGAAGGUGGGGAUGACGUCAAGUCCUCAUGGCCCUUAUGCCUAGGGCUACACACGUGCUACAAUGGCGAGUACAAAGGGCCGCGACACUGCAAAGUGAAGCCAAUCCCAAAAAACUCGCCUCAGUUCAGAUUGGAGUCUGCAACUCGACUCCAUGAAGUUGGAAUCGCUAGUAAUCGCGGAUCAGCACGCCGCGGUGAAUACGUUCCCGGGCCUUGUACACACCGCCCGU